rnacentral:rRNA from 1 species
UACGUAGGGGGCAAGCGUUGUCCGGAAUUACUGGGCGUAAAGCGCGUGUAGGCGGCCAGGUAGGUCUGGUGUGAAAACUCGAGGCUUAACCUCGAGAUGUCAUCGGAAACCAUCUGGCUAGAGUCCGGAAGAGGAGAGUGGAAUUCCUGGUGUAGCGGUGAAAUGCGCAGAUAUCAGGAAGAACACCAAUGGCGAAAGCAGCUCUCUGGGACGGUACUGACGCUGAGGAACGAAAGCGUGGGGAGCGAACAGG